GGGGUGCGGCGGGCAUGGAGCGGGGCCGGGACGGGGAGGAGGAGCUGGAGGAGGAGGAUGAGGAUGAGGAGGAGGAUGGCGGCCCAGAGAGCGCCCUGGAGAAGAGCCCGUUCCAGCUGACUGCCGCAGAUGUCUACGACAUCUCCUCGGUGGUGGGCCGGGACCUGCUGCAGCUCCACGCCGGGCCGCAGCUGCCCGCCGCCCGCGCCCGGCUGCAGUUCAGGAUCGUCAGGGUGCUGGAGAUGCUGGAGGCGCUGGUGAGCGAGAGCAGCGUGGCCGAGGAGCAGCUGCGGCGGGAGCGGGACAGCCUCCGGCGGGAGCUGGAGCAGCUGCGGGCGGCGGCCCGCGGGAGCGCCCCGCAGCCCAGCCUUGGACCAGAUCAAAUGGUGAUAGACCUCACAGACCCCAACCGGCCCCGGUUCACAUUACAAGAGCUCCGAGAUGUAUUGCAAGAGAGGAACCAGCUGAAAGCUCAGCUUCUGGUGGUGCAAGAGGAGCUGCAGUGCUAUAAGAGGGUGGAAAGAGGAACAGGCAGUUGCCUUGCAGGAGAGCUGGGAACUUCCCAUCUGUUCCCAGGCCUGGUGUGAGCCUGGGUGGCUGUGCUGGAGGUACAACACAUCUACCCCUGCAGAAAUUCACCAUUUGUGUCUUCACCCUCUUCUUACCCUUCGGUUUUGCACAAAUCCAAGUGUGAUUACACUUCCCUUUCACCCCCAUUAUGACUUGCCAUUUUUUUUCUCUGUGGAGAAGUCAGCUUGUUACUUUUUUAGUGUUCUCAUUAAAGCAUAACCCUGGCACCAUUACACUGCUGUAUUUAGAGAUAAUAAUUCAUUAUUUUCAGUUCACUACAGGGAAGAGGCUGGGCCAUCAUCCCUGUCCUGUGAACACUCAUUCACCCAUGCCCAGUGAGAGGUCUAACUCAUGCACUGUCACACUCUGCAAAAACCCACAAAAAAUAAACAAAAACAUUUAUUUUCCCAGUGGGAUCAUCUCACAGAAAAGGGACCAAACUGAAGAACUGGAAAAAGAAGCCAGUGGUAGCAGUGCUGGCAGCAGAAAGGACAGUGAAGAGAAGACAAUCAUCAAACGGUUGUUUUCUUUUAAACAUGGAAAAUGAGCAUCCUCAAGGACUUUGCUGCUGGUGAGAAUGGCCCUGAUGAGCCUCAGAGGCACUAGGAAAGACAAUGAUUGGAAGCAGCAGCAUCACUCCUACUGUAGAGAAUGAGCAAUCUCAUUAAAAUCCUGUUGUAUAAUAUUCUUUCAGAAUAGAUUUUACUCUGCUUUUUCAGAAACUGUUUGAAACAGACACUUUUUGUAUUUCUUAAUGUCAGACAUUACCCACAUGUAGAAAAUAAAACAUUUAUAAAAA